GAUCCUGGCUCAGGAUGAACGCUAGCUAUAGGCUUAACACAUGCAAGUCGAGGGGCAGCGGGAUUGAAGCUUGCUUCAAUUGCCGGCGACCGGCGCACGGGUGAGUAACGCGUAUCCAACCUUCCGCAUACUCGGGGAUAGCCUUCUGAAAAGGAGAUUAAUACCCGAUGGUAUCAAGAGAUUGCAUGAUAACUUGAUUAAAGAAUUUCGGUAUGCGAUGGGGAUGCGUUCCA
rnacentral:rRNA from 1 species